rnacentral:rRNA from 1 species
GUGGGGAAUCUUCCGCAAUGGACGAAAGUCUGACGGAGCAACGCCGCGUGAGUGAAGAAGGUUUUUGGAUCGUAAAGCUCUUUCGUUAGGGACGAACGUGCUCUUUGUGAAUAAUGAGGAGUAAUGACGGUACCUAAAUAAGAAGCCACGGCUAACUACGUGCCAGCAGCCGCGGUAAUACGUAGGUGGCAAGCGUUGUCCGGAAUUAUUGGGCGUAAAGCGCGCGCAGGCGGGAUAUCAAGUCUGUCUUAAAAGUGCGAGGCUCAACCUCGUGAGGAGACAGAAACUGGUAUUCUUGAGUGUCGGAGAGGAAAGUGGAAUUCCAAGUGUAGCGGUGAAAUGCGUAGAGAUUUGGAAGAACACCAGUGGCGAAGGCGACUUUCUGGACGAUGUCUGACGCUGAGGCGCGAAAGCUAGGGGAGCGAACGGGAUUAGAAACCCGUGUAGUCC